GUGCUUGCUUUGGCAGCACAUAUACUAAAAUUGGAACUAUACAUAGAAGAUUAGCAUGGACCCUACACAAGGAUGACAAGCGAAUUCAUGAAGCGUUCCAUAUUUUC